rnacentral:rRNA from 1 species
AGAGUUUGAUCAUGGCUCAGGACGAACGCUGGCGGCGUGCCUAAUACAUGCAAGUCGAGCGGGUUCAUCCUUCGGGAUGGGCUAGCGGCGGACGGGUGAGUAACACGUAGGCAACCUGCCUGUAAGCCCGGGAUAACCCACGGAAACGUGAGCUAAAACCGGAUACGUGAGAGGAAGGCAUCUUCUUCUCUGGAAAUGCG